GCCUAACUGUAGUUUAUCCCUUUUAUAAUUGGGUUGAGAGUAAAUAGUCUUUUGUGUAUUAUUUCUUGCAGAUCUAUAAGUUUUCAUGAUGAGGGUGAUAAAUAGUAGAUCUAUGUAGGGGUUGUCAUAGUCAAAUCAGAAAAUUAGUGGUCUUUCACGUUUGAGAAUGAAAUCUAGCGGAGAUUAAAUAAGUUGGUGGUGAUAGGUCCUUAUGUCAUCCAGCGUCCCCUUUUGACAUCGAAUUUGUUGUCCUCGAUGGGUGGCUUAGCAAGGAAAGCUAAAAUCUUUGAAGGAUUCAUUGUCUUCUCAAGCAGCAUAGGAGAAAAUGAUUUGGCUACUAGAGUAUUCUCUCUGUUUCUAGACAUCUCUGUGUCGAUUUCUUUAUUCUAGGUUUGAUUGAGUUUUGGUUUUGCUAUGGAGUAUGAUCAAUGGACAUAGAGUUUGCCUAUGGGUGAACUUUCAAUCUUUUGAUGGUGCCAUGCAGCAAAGCUAAGCUAUGGUAAA
rnacentral:misc_RNA from 1 species